rnacentral:rRNA from 1 species
UACGUAGGGGGCUAGCGUUGCUCGGAAUUACUGGGCGUAAAGGGAGCGUAGGCGGGCCGUCAAGUUGGGGGUGAAAGCCCAGGGCUCAACCUUGGAAUUGCCUUCAAAACUGACGAUCUAGAGUAUGGAAGAGGUAAGUGGAACUCCGAGUGUAGAGGUGAAAUUCGUAGAUAUUCGGAAGAGCACCAGUGGCGAAGGCGACUUACUGGUCCAUGACUGACGCUGAGGCUCGAAAGCGUGGGGAGCAAACAGG